GACAGAGGAUGCAAGCGUUAUCCGGAAUGAUUGGGCGUAAAGCGUCUGUAGGUGCUUUUAAGUCUGCCGUCAAAUCCCAGGCUUAACCCUGGACAGGCGGUGGAACUACCAAGCUGGAGUACGGUAGGGGCAGAGGGAAUUUCCGGUGGAGCGGGUGAAAGUGCGUAGAGAUCGGAAAGAACACCAACGGCGAAAGCAACUCUGCUGGGCCGACACUGACACUGAGAGACGAAAGCUAGGGGAGCGAAUGG
rnacentral:rRNA from 1 species